rnacentral:rRNA from 1 species
CAGUCGUACCGGCGGAUAAUCAGCCUUUCGGGUGCGAUUCUGUGGGGCGUGAGGAGCUUAACCGCCUUCAUGUUUUGCAUAUUCGUGCACAUUUGGUGUACUUGUCCGUGUGGUGGGUUAACAUCAAUUUCGGUCGUCAUAAAAUGGCUGGAGGAAUGUAGCUUCGGUCUCGUAUUGAAGUGUUAUAGCCUUUGGUAGACGUGAUGAUUGGGAUUGAGGAUUGCAACGGAUACCCUUCGGGCUACCUGUCUGGUCUCUGAUCGUUGCUCUGGUGCCGAAAGCUCGCUUACGGUUCUCAAAGUCGAUGGU